GUCGCCAUCUUUAUUCUUGAUUUUAUCUUUCUUCUUUUUUAGGUUAUAUCCGGUGUCUGUUUUCAUUUUUUUAAUGUCGCCUUUUUCGUCAUCGUUUUCGGUCUCCAUUUUUCGUCGUAUUGGUUUGUCGGAUGCAGAUUCGUAAUCAGUUAAUGAGUCAUUUUCUUCCAGGGGGCUUAGAAAUCCCCCGUGCUCGUCGUCGCUGUCUCUCAUCCAACGAGGAUCUUUCGAUGCCUCGUGGCUGCAGAUUGGAUUUCACUUCUUGCCCCAAUAACGUCCACACAUCUGUACACAAAUAUCGUGUCACACUUCCGACUCCGGUCAAAAGAUGAUGUCCGAGUGCCGAGAAUCCUGAGUUCUACAAAAACUUAUACUGUGUAUAACGCCGGAGUUGCGCAUGUGAAUGGUCGCUUUGGAAAAAGUAUCCGAGCAUUCAGUGUAAAUGAGUUUAAGAAGUAUAUUGACGGAUUAGUGUAAUAAAUUUGUUCAGAUACGUAGAAAACAACUUUCUUUAUAUUUGUUACGGGCACGAGAAAGUUCAUGAAGAGCAUACAAUUUUCUCCCUUUUGAAAACCCGAUUUUUUUUUCGACUUUUUCCAAGUCGAAAGUUUUCCGGCCUGUUUCUGAUAUUGAGGUCGUGUAAUUCAGAAAUGUUGAUGUGAUGAUUUGCAAUGGUUUGAUUUCUGUUGAUUCGAAUGGUAGGAUAAUCGGUUGGUAAAACCGAAAUUCGAAAUUUUCGUAGAGCUCAUUGUUGAUGUAUAAUGAGCAGUUAUGGAAUAUUACAAGAUGGAUUCCUCAUUAUAUAAAAACAAAAUUAUAUUAAAUGUGUAACCUCCUAGUUUUAAGCAAUUCAAAAUGUAAAACAAAGAAAAAAUGGCACCUUUAAGCUAACGCAAACGUGCCUUAUCAA